rnacentral:rRNA from 1 species
GACGAACGCUGGCGGCGCGCUUAACACAUGCAAGUCGAGCGAGAACCCAGGCUUCGGCCUGGGGGAAAGCGGCGAACGGGUGAGUAACACGUGGGUAAUCUGCCCUCGGCAUCGGGAUAGCCCGGGGAAACCCGGAUUAAUACCGGAUGGCCCGACAGCUCUUCGGAGCGGUCGGAAAAGGUAGCUUCGGCCUCCGGCCGAGGAGGAGCCCGCGGCGGAUUAGCUUGUUGGUGAGGUAACGGCUCACCAAGGCUCCGAUCCGUAGCUGGUCUGAGAGGACGAUCAGCCACACUGGGACUGCGACACGGCCCAGACUCCUACGGGAGGCAGCAGUGGGGAAUCUUGCGCAAUGGGCGAAAGCCUGACGCAGCGACGCCGCGUGAGGGAAGAAGGCCUUCGGGUUGUAAACCUCUUUCAGGAGGGACGAAGCCACUCGGGUUAAUAGCCCAGAGGGUGACGGUACCUCCAGAAGAAGCCCCGGCUAACUACGUGCCAGCCGCCGCCGUAAAAC